rnacentral:ribozyme from 1 species
AAUAUCUAGCCACAAACUAUGAUACGAAUAAACGACUCCCAACCUAGCCAAAAUGGAAUCGACAGUUCUCUUUGCUUCUUUUCUUUCUCUUUCUUUUCCUCCUUUUUCCCUCUCCUUUCUCUUUCCCCUCCUU